rnacentral:rRNA from 1 species
UUCCGUAGGGGGACCUGCGGAGGGAUCAUUACCGAGUUUACAACUCCCAAACCCCUGUGAACAUACCACUUGUUGCCUCGGCGGAUCAGCCCGCUCCCGGUAAAACGGGACGGCCCGCCAGAGGACCCCUAAACUCUGUUUCUAUAUGUAACUUCUGAGUAAAACCAUAAAUAAAUCAAAACUUUCAACAACGGAUCUCUUGGUUCUGGCAUCGAUGAAGAACGCAGCAAAAUGCGAUAAGUAAUGUGAAUUGCAGAAUUCAGUGAAUCAUCGAAUCUUUGAACGCACAUUGCGCCCGCCAGUAUUCUGGCGGGCAUGCCUGUUCGAGCGUCAUUUCAACCCUCAAGCACAGCUUGGUGUUGGGACUCGCGUUAAUUCGCGUUCCUCAAAUUGAUUGGCGGUCACGUCGAGCUUCCAUAGCGUAGUAGUAAAACCCUCGUUACUGGUAAUCGUCGCGGCCACGCCGUUAAACCCCAACUUCUGAAUGUUGACCUCGGAUCAGGUAGGAAUACCCGCUGAACUUAAGCAUAUCAAUAGGCCGGAGGAA